AGCUCCAAUAGCGUAUAUUAAAGUUGUUGCGGUUAAAAAGCUCGUAGUUGGAUCUCGGCGGGUAGAAGGCGGUGCACUUGCUAGUGCUACUGCCUUAUUACCCGUAGUUUUUGCUAGAGGUUUCAGGGUGCUCUUAAUCGAGUGUCUUGGAAUGCUAGCAGGUUUACUUUGAAAAAAUUAGAGUGCUCAAAGCAGGCUUAUCACGCUUGAAUAUUCGUGCAUGGAAUAAUAGAAUAGGAAGUCGUUUCUAUUUUGUUGGUUUUCGGAAAUCGACUUAAUGAUUAAUAGGGACAGUCGGGGGCAUUUGUAUUCAAACGACAGAGGUGAAAUUCUUGGACCGUUUGAAGACAAACUACUGCGAAAGCAUUUGCCAAGAAUGUUU
rnacentral:rRNA from 1 species